UACGAAGGGGGCUAGCGUUGUUCGGAAUUACUGGGCGUAAAGCGCACGUAGGCGGACUAUUAAGUCAGGGGUGAAAUCCCGGGGCUCAACCCCAGAACUGCCUUCGAUACUGAGAGUCUCGAGUCCGGGAGAGGUGAGUGGAACUGCGAGUGUAGAGGUGAAAUUCGUAGAUAUUCGCAAGAACACCAGUGGCGAAGGCGGCUCACUGGCCCGGUACUGACGCUGAGGUGCGAAAGCGUGGGGAGCAAACAGG
rnacentral:rRNA from 1 species